AUGGCUCAGAACGAACGCUGGCGGCAGGCUUAACACAUGCAAGUCGAGCGCCCCGCAAGGGGAGCGGCAGACGGGUGAGUAACGCGUGGGAAUCUACCCUUGACUACGGAAUAACGCAGGGAAACUUGUGCUAAUACCGUAUGUGUCCUUCGGGAGAAAGAUUUAUCGGUCAAGGAUGAGCCCGCGUUGGAUUAGCUAGUUGGUGGGGUAAAGGCCUACCAAGGCGACGAUCCAUAGCUGGUCUGAGAGGAUGAUCAGCCACAUUGGGACUGAGACACGGCCCAAACUCCUACGGGAGGCAGCAGUGGGGAAUAUUGGACAAUGGGCGCAAGCCUGAUCCAGCCAUGCCGCGUGAGUGAUGAAGGCCCUAGGGUUGUAAAGCUCUUUUCACCGGAGAAGAUAAUGACGUUCCGAGAGAGCCC
rnacentral:rRNA from 1 species